rnacentral:lncRNA from 1 species
GGUUAAAAUACCUUUCACUUUGGUUGCUUUUUAGCUGUGGAUCGGUCCGUUUCAUCAAGUCUGUCAGAUGCAAGAGAUGCCUUAGUGAAUGCUGUAGUGGACUCAUUGUCUGCAUAUGGCUCAACUGUCUCAAAUUUACAGCACUCUGCAUUGAUGGCACCGAGUUCCCUCAAGUUGUUUCCUCUCUAUGUUUUGGCUCUUCUCAAACAGAAAGCAUUUAGAACGGGUACAAGCACACGGCUGGAUGAUCGUGUAUAUGCCAUGUGUCAGAUAAAGUCUCAGCCACUUGUUCAUCUAAUGAAAAUGAUUCAUCCCAACUUAUACAGGAUAGACAGAUUGACAGAUGAGGGUGCAGUACAUGUUAAUGACAGGGUUGUACCACAGCCACCUCUUCAAAAAUUGUCUGCAGAGAAGCUGACAAGAGAAGGUGCUUUCCUUAUGGACUGUGGCUCUGUUUUUUACAUUUGGGUUGGGAAAGGCUGUGACAAUAACUUCAUAGAGGAUGUGCUUGGAUAUACUAAUUUUGCAUCAAUACCACAGAAAAUGACACAUCUUCCAGAGCUAGAUACACUUUCAUCAGAAAGAGCCAGAUCCUUCAUAACUUGGCUUAGAGACAGCAGACCAUUAAGUCCAAUCCUUCACAUAGUAAAAGAUGAGAGUCCUGCCAAAGCAGAAUUUUUUCAGCAUUUGAUUGAAGACCGGACAGAGGCUGCAUUUUCUUACUAUGAAUUUUUGCUUCAUGUUCAGCAGCAGAUUUGUAAGUGAAGUAGAAUAAAAUUGAAUAAGAAAAAGAUCUAUAACCUAGGUAAAGCAUAAUCUGUCAGAGAAGCGCGUGAGAAAUUUGAAAUGAAGGCAUUUGUUAAUACAAGAUGCAACACACAGCACUCUGAGGCUUUGGUAAAAAGUAAAGGGGAAGAAAGAACUUGACAGAUCUUUUUCAACUCAAAUUAAUGGUAACGAUGAUGCUGUUUCACCAAGUAUAUUUUGAAUUGGUUUCUACACAUUUCCAGUAGUAUGGCAGUACAGUGCUCUGUUCAUUGCAAGCUGGCAAAUUUAUGUAGCUAUGUGGAAUGAUAUGUCAUAAUGUAAAAUUAGAUAAAUUCUUUUUUCUUAUAAUUAAUAUAACAUUUCUGGACUUGAACUCUGGCAAGAGAUGCCAAAAGGCAUUGGUACC